rnacentral:rRNA from 1 species
GACGAACGCUGGCGGGGUGCUUAACACAUGCGAGUCGAACGGAAAGGCCCUGCUUUUGUGGGGUGCUCGAGUGGCGAACGGGUGAGUAACACGUGAGUAACCUGCCCUUGACUUUGGGAUAACUUCAGGAAACUGGGGCUAAUACCGGAUAGGAGCUCCUGCUGCAUGGUGGGGGUUGGAAAGUUUCGGCGGUUGGGGAUGGACUCGCGGCUUAUCAGCUUGUUGGUGGGGUAGUGGCUUACCAAGGCUUUGACGGGUAGCCGGCCUGAGAGGGUGACCGGCCACAUUGGGACUGAGAUACGGCCCAGACUCCUACGGGAGGCAGCAGUGGGGAAUAUUGCACAAUGGGCGGAAGCCUGAUGCAGCAACGCCGCGUGCGGGAUGACGGCCUUCGGGUUGUAAACCGCUUUCGCCUGUGACGAAGCGUGAGUGACGGUAAUGGGUAAAGAAGCACCGGCUAACUACGUG